UCCAAUUACACCAAACCAAAUCCGAUAACUAACCAAAAUCAACCCGGGUUUAAACCUAUCUAAACCAGUAGCUAACCGAUAUAAACCAGAAACUUUAAUCUUCAAUCAGAGAACCCGAUUGGAGCCGCUUUCCCACGAAGCAGCGGAUACUCGCCGGAACAGAACCAUGGAAUACGGGAGUGGAACGGAGAAGGCGAUACAGGACCAUCACCAACCCGACACCGUAGAGGUGUGAAGAGAAGGAAGAAGAAACCGAUCAAUCAAUCCGGAAGCCAUGGCUCAGUCGUGAUAGAGAUAAGAAUGAUGGAGAAGCUUCUCUUCUCAAAGAAGAAUACGUCACCGGCGCCGUUGACCACCAGAAGAUCUAAUUAAUACAGGGAGAACAAACUAGAUACAUUAAGCAUGAUGGAAGAUGUCAAAGGUUCAGUGGAAACUUCUUGAUGUCUACCCAUGAGAGGACUGUUUUAGCCUCUAAGCUUUGUUUUUUCCAUGAGAGCAUAAAUGUGCAAUGGUAACAUUGAUGUGCAAAAUAAAGAAGUCAAAGCAGAACAAAAUUUGGAAGUAACCAGAGAAAUUAAGAAAGAGCCUAAAAGAUUUGAACAAGGAGAUUACGAGACGGAACGAAAGGGAAACGGUCAAGGACCUGGCAAAUAUCAUUAUAUCUCAUAUGCAGUAAAGCAAAAAACCUUUGUUUGAUCAUUUUGGUAUCGAUAAAUUUGUAGAUCAACGAGAUGGUAAAGGCGAAACCAAGAUGAUCAGUCUCAUGGCAGAUGAUUCUUUGCUUUAGCCAACUUGAACUGGCCGUUAUGGUUGAAGAAAUGCAAGAGACUUUUCCCUGAGAACAAAAAAAUGAAAGUCAAAGAAGCAUCUAAAGCAAAACUGCAAGUAUGUAACACAUUACAUUCUGAUAUAAGCAUCUAAUUCAAUUAUUUGCUUCCUUCAGAUAGGUACAUUUUGAAAUGCUUAUGUUCGAAAUUUCGAAUCAAGAAGGUGAAAGAAAUUAGUGAUCAAAAUACUAGGUUCCAAGAUAAGAAUGUUCAUAGAGAUGCUGCGAUUGUGGGUGGAGUUGGACGAAACUUUUAUAAUAUAUUCUCUGACAUGGGUUUUAUAAUCUAUUCUCUAGUAGCCAUUAUUCUAAAUAGUAUAAUCUCUUACAUGGUAGUGCAUGAACUCUUUCAGUGUACGUAAGGUUUUUCUAUGUGGCUAUCAAAACAAACAUUGUUAAAGCAUACGACAAAUGUUGAAUCCAAUUUCUUGGAGAAUGCCAUGUCAAAUGAUACUUAG